rnacentral:lncRNA from 1 species
UUAAACUGAAAAUUGGUGUGAAUAAAACAAGAGUACAGACAGAAAAAUAAGGUAUGUUGAUUUUGAUUUUGAAUUAGUUUUUGUGCAUUGUGAUAAAUAACAUGUCAUUGUAAGUGUAUACUGUUUAUACUUCAAAAUAUCUAUGCAAGUACUUAAAAAGAACAAUGUUUUUUCUUUAUACAACACAAACGACUCAAUAAAAUUUAUAGGUGAAGCACGUUCUAUAUUUGAUGGCAAAAUUUACACAAUUUCCAUAUGAACAAAGGGUUAUUUCAAUAAUAAACUUUAAGAAUUAUUCUUUUUUUAAAUAAUUUAUCUAAGGGAGUUUUUCAAAGGUUCUUACAAUACAACAAAAACUCGAAUUGAUAUAAUAUUAUUGUUUUUCGCACUGUGUUGAAGAUUAAAUUGUGGCCUUCAGCCGUUUUCUUCUCUUUCAUCAGCUUGUCGUCUCUUUGACACAUUCUUAAUUUCCAUUCUCAAUUUCUCAAUUUGUUUUUAAUAUCACUUAGUUCAUUCAGCAAAUUAAAUCAUUGAUGUACUAUUUAAACUAUAAAACAAAAUCAAAACAAAACAAAACAAAAAUUAAAACAAACAUACAUGUACUUUGAAAGACUGUUCCAGUUUUUACUUAAUUUCUACUUUAGGAAUAUUUGUGAUAAAAUACAUUAGAUAAUAAGAAUAUAAAAUAAUUAAGUGAUCUCUAUAAGAGAUGUAAUGAAGAUAAUAUUGUAUUUUUUUCAGUAUAUUUAAUGGAUCUAUAAUGUACACCUGUUAAGCAAAAGUAAAAGGUAUUAAACUGAAAUAUGGUGUGAAUAAAACAAGAGUACAGAGAUAAAAAGGUAUGUUGAAUUGGAUUUCAAAUUUAAAUUAGUGUUUGAUCAUUGUGUUGAAAACAUAACAUUCCCCUUGUGUACCGUCUAUACUUCAAAAUAACUAUACAAGUACUUGAAAAGAACUUUUUUCUUCUUUAUUCAACACAUACGACUCUAGACAUUUAUAGGUGAAACACUUUAUAAAUUUAAUGUUAAGUUACACCAUUUCCACAUGAACCAAGGGUUAUUCUAAUCAUAUAUUAUAAGAAUUAUUUUUAAAAAAAAUAGUAAUGAUCUAAGGGAGGUAAUCAGUAAAUAAAAUUGAUCAGACCUCUAGUGUGUGUUUUUAUUCAAAGGUUCUUACAAUACAACAAAAACUCGAAUUAAUAUAAUAAUAUUGUUUUUCUCACUGUGUUGAAGACCCAUUAGUGACCUUCGGCUUUUUUCUUCUCUUUGGUCAGGUUGUCGUCUCUUUGACACAUUCCAUUAUAUCACUUUUUGAAUAAGAAAAAAAAUAUUGAUGUAGUAUUUAAACAAUAAAACAAAAAACAAAAAAAUAUAUAAGCAAACAUACAGGUACUUUGAAAGGGUGUUCUAGUUUUUACUUAAUUUCUACUUAAGGUAUAUUUGUGAUGAUACAGAUCAAAUAAUUAGAAUAUAAAAUAGUUAAGAUAAGCGAUGUUAUGAAGAUAAUAUUGUAUUGUUUUUUUGUUCAUUACAUUUAAGGGAUCUAUCAUGAACAUGAUGUAUACCUGUUAAACAAAAGUGAUAUUUUUAAACUGAAAAUUGGCGUGUGUAAGACAAGAGUACAGACAGAAAAUUAAGGUAUGUUGAAUUUAAUUUUAAAUUUAAAUUUGUUUUUGUCAAUUAUGAUAAAUUACUUGUCAUUGCCAAUGUACACUGUCUAUAUUUCAAAAUUACUAUACAAAUACUUGAAAAGAACAAUGUCUUUCUUUACACAACAUACACACGACUAUAGACAUGUAUAGGUGAAGCAUUUUCUAUAUCAAAUGGCAUAAAAUACACAAUUUCCACAUGAACAAAGGGUUAUUUCAACAAUACACUAUUAUAUCUUUUUUUUAUAAAUAAUAAUGAUCUACGGGCGUUAAUAAGUAAAUAAAAUUGGUCAGACCUCUAGUAUGUUUUUUUAUCAAAGGUUCUUACAUUACAACAAAAACUCGAAUUGACAUAAUGAUAAUUGUUGAUUAAGAAAAAAAAAUCAUUGAUGCACUAUUUAAAUAAUCAGAAAAAAAUCAAAAACAAAUCAAAAACAAACAUACAGGUUCUGUGAAAUAGUGUUCAAGUUUUAAAUAAUAAGAAAAAAUCACAAACAAAUCAAAAACAAACAUACAGGUUCUGUGAAAUAGUGUUCAAUUUUUUACUUAUUAAAACACCUCUGUUUAUACGAUUUUGAAAAUGGUUGAGCAUAAACAGGCGUUUUUGCAGUUUUUUCGCAAGGUGGAUCUACAUUCUCAGGAUCAAACAUUGCAAAUUGUACCACCUUGAUAUUUAUUAAAGAUGAAUUGAUCAAUUACGCCAUUGUUACUACGUUUUAUAAAAAAAAAUAUAUUAUAUACUUAGUAGAAAUAAAUGUUAAAAUAAUAAUGAUAUAAGGGAGAUAAUCAUUAAUAAAAUUGAUGAGAAAAAGUCUGGAAUCUCUCAAAUGUUAUUUUGUUUGUCCAAUUUCUUUGUAUAAAAAGUUUUAUAUUUUUGUAUGAGGAAAUCUGAAUAAUCAUAUUCUGUUGGUUCAAAUAAAACAUUUUAAGUACAUGUUAUAAAAAUAAACAAACACUUUUGACUUUUUUCAAAGAAAAUCAAUAAUAGUAAUUGAGAAAUUCCUAAUGUAGUAAUAUUUGUAAUGUAAUAUAUUAGAUAAUAAGCAUAUAAAAUAAUUAAGUGAUCUCUAUAAGAGUUGUUAUGGAGAUAAUAUUGUAUUGUUGUUUUUUUUUUUCAGAACAUUUUAUGGAUGUAUCAUUUAUACCUAUUAAGCAAAAGUAAUACAUUUAUGUAUCAAACUGAAAAUCGGUGUGAAUAAAACAAGAGUACAGAGAGAAAAAAGAGG